UAGUGUACAUAGAGUGGGGUGCUCAUUUUCGCCACAUCUUUCCAUGUUUUCUACAGUUUAUGUUCAGGUCUAAAUGUUUUUGAAGUAUACUGAUAUUUCUAUAUGAAGAUAACUUCAAAUGCAAAAUAUACUUAAGCUUGAAAACCGGUUUGUUUUAAGAAAAUCAUCUGAAAAGUUAGAUUAAAUGGUGUUUGAAAUUUCCGGAUGUUUUGUCAAUGGGGGACACAUAUUCGCCGUUUUUACACAUCUAUUUAAAACUAAAUAACCGCAGCUUUUAACAUUUUUUAUCAAAUCAAUUGCAUUAUAGAUGAAUAGCAGACAUUUCAAAGGUAUAAAGAAUUCAAAAUUAGGGCAUUCAGUCAAAUAUUUACUUAGAAAUACUUCUUUGAAAUCGUUUUUUUUUAAUCAGGAAAUUGCCCGAAAAUCGUUGUCCGUUUUCGGUCAUUUUCGGUAGGAGCCGCAAUUUUGUCUCAGUUUAAAAAAAUACUAUAUUUGUUAUAAAAAUAUAAUUUACGGGUACAUUUCUUCCAUUUCAGCCAUCCUUUGAAGUUUUUACACCUCAAAAUCCUUAAACGGCGAAAUUGUGUCCCCGGCGAAAAUGAGCACCCCACUCUACUUGUCUUA
rnacentral:lncRNA from 1 species